rnacentral:rRNA from 1 species
CCAAUAGCGUAUAUUAAAGUUGUUGCAGUUAAAAAGCUCGUAGUUGAAUUUCGGGGUUAGUAGGUUGGUCAUGCCUCUGGUAUGUACUGGUCUCACUGAUUCCUCCUUCCUGAUGAGCCGUAAUGCCAUUAAUUUGGUGUUGCGGGGAAUUUGGACUGUUACUUUGAAAAAAUUAGUGUGUUUAAAGCAAGCUAACGCUU